ACAGGGAUUGCCCCAGAUAACGGCGAGUGAAGCGGCAACAGCUCAGAUUUGAAAUCCGGCCCCCAGGGCCCCGAGUUGUAAUCUAGCAGGGGAUGCCCCUGGCGCGGCGCCCACCGAGUUCCCUGGAACGGGACGCCAUAGAGGGUGAGAGCCCCGUAUGGUGGGAUGCCUAGCCUCUGUGGGGCUCCUCCGACGAGUCGAGUAGUUUGGGAAUGCUGCUCUAAUCGGGAGGUAAAUCUCUUCUAAAGCUAAAUACCGGCCAGAGACCGAUAGCGCACAAGUAGAGUGAUCGAAAGAUGAAAAGCACCUUGGAAAGGGGGUUAAACAGCACGUGAAAUUGUUGAAAGGGAAGCGCCUGUGACCAGACUCGCGCCGGGCGGAUCAUCCAGCGGUCUCCGCUGGUGCACUCCGCCCGGCACGGGCCAGCAUCGGUUUCCGCGGGGGGACAAGAGCGGCGGGGACGUGGCUCCCCCGGGAGUGUUAUAGCCCGCCGCACGAUGCCCCCUCGGGGACCGAGGUACGCGCUCCGCAAGGAUGCUGGCGUAAUGGUCACCGGCGACCCGUCUUGAAACACGGACCAAGGAGUCGUCCAUUACGGCGAGCGUUUGGGCGUCAAACCCCUACGCGUAAUGAAAGUGAACGCAGGUGAGAGCUUCGGCGCAUCAUCGACCGAUCCUGAUGUUCUCGGAUGGAUUUGAGUAAGAGUCGUAACGGACGGACCCGAAAGAUGGUGAACUAUGCCUGUAUAGGGUGAAGCCAGAGGAAACUCUGGUGGAGGCUCGCAGCGGUUCUGACGUGCAAAUCGAUCGUCAAAUAUGGGCAUGGGGGCGAAAGACUAAUC
rnacentral:rRNA from 1 species